rnacentral:rRNA from 1 species
UACGAAGGGGGGCUAGCGUUGCUCGGAAUCACUGGGCGUAAAGGGUGCGUAGGCGGGUCUUUAAGUCAGGGGUGAAAUCCUGGAGCUCAACUCCAGAACUGCCUUUGAUACUGAAGAUCUUGAGUUCGGGAGAGGUGAGUGGAACUGCGAGUGUAGAGGUGAAAUUCGUAGAUAUUCGCAAGAACACCAGUGGCGAAGGCGGACUCACUGGCCCGAUACUGACGCUGAGGC